CUGCAGGCUUUCUUUGAUGUGUUGGCACACCGAUCUGAAUUUCAGGAAGCAAUUUCACCCAUUGCAGAGAAGUGGCUGUCAUCUGUUACAGAAAUGUUAUUAUUUAGAGCACAUUAACUUACGUAAAAUUUACAUUCAAUAUUGCAGUUAGGAAACAUUCAGUCUGUGUCAUUUGUUUUGCUCCUAGGCAGAUAAUUUUUUUUGAGAUGCCAGAGUAAUUUUCCAAGUAAAGUAUGGAAAUCUUAGCAAUGUAUAUUAUCAUAUAUUUUACUCUAACUUAUAACAUUAACCAUUUAUUUCUGGAAAAUGUAACAUUAUACAGAAAAAAAAGGCAAACAAGAAUGUCCAAGCAAAGAAAAGUGAGAAGAAAACAGGAACAAAAAAACCCCAGGCCCCAAAAUGGAAGAUAUCUCCAGAAGAAUUUCUUCAACUUCAAAAAGAAGCAGAUGUUCUGAAAGAGGAGAACAAUAACCUUAAGGAGCAACUGCAAAGUGCUUUAUUGGAAUCUGAGAAGAACAAGAGAGAGCUUAAGUGGGCUCUAAAGUUUCAGAUGGAAUCUCUUCGGAGUGAAUCAAAGAGCAAGGUAUCGGUGGGAAUGGGGGCCAGUAAGAGACAACUUAGAGGUGACACCUCAUUUAGGAGAGACUCAAAGGCAGCAUUCAUUAAACCCUCGCUUGGACAAAUGGCAAAUGAUCGCAUCUUCGAACAAUAAAAGAUGCAGUUAACCAGCAUAGAGAAGAGUUUGUGCUACAACACCUAAUUGCUUCUUAUUUUACUCACACACUGCCACUUCCGGCUUCUUGCUGGUUAGUUGGAUGUAAGGGUCACAUGGUCUUUUCUGCUUGGGCUGUCUUUCACCUUCAGUCCUUGGAUCUCUGUCUUUCAAGUGGCUAGGAUGACAGGCAUGAGCCACCAGAGCCCAGCCUCAUAUAUUAGUUUUAAAUGAUGAUUUUAAUACCUAUGAUUUGAAAUCUAGAAAAGUUAGGAUUUCAAAGACUAAAAAAUAUGCUGGACAAAAUUAAAUAUGAAUGGAAAACCAUGUGGAAAAAUACUUAAAAUAUUUUAGUUAUUUAUUUUUUGUGCAGUAGU